rnacentral:sRNA from 2 species
AGGGGUGGACGCAUGGGGUAUGAGAACAAAGAGUGAUAAAAAUCAGCUCUAGUUGUUCCGUAAACUCAAAUCAACCAAGUUCUACACUCAUUUUUUCACUGCUUUUUAUCUCAAUAAUUUGAUAUUCGGCAAAGCCACAGGCCACACAGCAUAGCUCCCAGGUGGUAAACUCCAUGCACCCAAUUUUUAUUUUAUUAUUCAUGUCUAUUACUAGCUCUGAUUCUCCCUCCGGUAUUAUUAAAAAUGAUGUGAGGAAGAUGUUUUUUGUUCUCCUUUGGAGAAAAGAUAAUUUUGUGUGAACUGCAACAACUUGUCACCAAACUAUCAAACUUCAGCCAAUCGUGCCCUCCAUCCUCUCCAUCAUCGAAAGCAUGUCUCGUAAAUGUCCCUCCCCGAUGGCUGCAUUUUGGGGUCCCCGCCCGCCAUCGCCUCCUCCACCAGCCGUAACACAUGAAUAACAUACUCUGAUCUUCAG